rnacentral:rRNA from 2 species
CAGCCGCCGCGGUAAAACCAGCACCUCAAGUGGUCAGGAUGAUUAUUGGGCCUAAAGCAUCCGUAGCCGGCUCUGUAAGUUUUCGGUUAAAUCUGUAUGCUCAACAUACAGGCUGCCGGGAAUACUGCAGAGCUAGGGGGUGGGAGAGGUAGACGGUACUCGGUAGGAAGGGGUAAAAUCCUUUGAUCUAUUGAUGACCACCUGUGGCGAAGGCGGUCUACCAGAACACGUCCGACGGUGAAGGAUGAAAGCCGGGGGAGCAAACCGGAUUAGAUACCCGGGUAGUCCCAGCUGUAAACUAUGCAAACUCAGUGAUGCAUUGGCUUGUGGCCAAUGCAGUGCUGCAGGGAAGCCGUUAAGUUUGCCGCCUGGGAAGUACGUACGCAAGUAUGAAACUUAAAGGAAUUGGCGGGGGAGCAC